UAAAUUCUUAAUGACCAAACGCUUAGCUACUGCGCAACUUUCUGUAUCUUUGUUUUAUAGCAUGAAAACACUAAAAGAGGAAUAUGCAACCCAUUAUAACUUUUUCAUGUUUUUGUAAUUAUUGUAAUGGAUCAGCAUUAUGAGAUCCUUAUUAUAAGUAACUACGUCAUUGAAAGAAAUUAAAAGUGGUUACUUAAUCAUGUAUAAAAGCGGCACAUGUAUUUUAUGUUAUCCUUAUAUGUUUCAUAAUGCGGUACAUUAUGUACACGAUGAUUAUGUUGCUGCAGUAUAAUAUUUCGACACAACAAUUUGAAAUUCACAA
rnacentral:lncRNA from 1 species